rnacentral:tRNA from 1 species
GUGGGUUAUAGCUCAGUGGUAGAGUACUUGCCUAGCAUGUGUGAGACAUGAGUUUGACUCUCCGUACCACA